AAUUUCUUGUCGUAUUUCUGAAGACUUCUUGGCCUACCCCAGAGCGUGAAAUCAAAUUUUGUAUUGACUCUAGUACAAAACUCAUUUCUAAAUCCCUCAAGUAUUUCUUCACCUAAAACAAACGUAUUAUGCGCCAAAGAAGUUGGCUCGAGCUGUUGAAGAUUACGAUUAUACCAUUCAAUAUCAUCGUGGAAGAGCGAACAUGG
rnacentral:lncRNA from 1 species